GGAGGGCUGACCGAGUGGCCGAAGGUGCUCGCCUGCUAAGCGAGUAGGGGGUGCAAACUUCCUCGAGAGUUCAAAUCUCUCGCCCUCCG
rnacentral:tRNA from 1 species